rnacentral:lncRNA from 1 species
CCAAAGAGGCUCAAUUCUCCAUCUUCCCUGAAAAUUCUAAAUCUUCCUUCUGUUGAUCCACUCGGAAGUUUAAAAUUAGUUUUCUUUUUAGUCUCCUCCGGUUCAAUUCUCUCUUCAAAGCACUGUUCACUUUCUCUUGCAUCAAAAUCUAAACUUCUGCAUUUGUAUACAAUUAGGAUUAAUUUCUGCACAUAAAUAAUUGUGAAGAGUUAGAGAAGAUGGCUGGCGCUGCGACAAUGGUGAGCUCGGCCGGUGGGCUAUUGGCGAUGUUGAACGAGACCCACCCGGCGCUUAAGCUACAUGCG